UCGAAACCUGCACAGCAGACCCGCGAACGUGUGUUUUUACCUCGAGGGUGUUGGGACUCGGYMAGGAGAAAUCCGCCCCGAGUCCCGCCCCUUCUCCCGGGCGGCGCCUGCGUCGUUCGGGAUAACGAACCCCGGCGCGGUAUGCGCCAAGGAAAACAAAAACAGAUGAGCCGCGCCCCCRUCUGCCCCGUUCGCGGGUGCAUUCGGGGUAACGYGGCCUCUCUUGAAAGUCAUAACGACUCUCGGCAACGGAUAUCUCGGCUCUCGCAUCGAUGAAGAACGUAGCGAAAUGCGAUACUUGGUGUGAAUUGCAGAAUCCCGUGAACCAUCGAGUCUUUGAACGCAAGUUGCGCCCGAAGCCAUUAGGCCGAGGGCACGUCUGCCUGGGCGUCACGCAUCGCGUCGCCCCCUCCCAAUCCCUAGGGAUACUUGGAAGGGGGCGGAAAAUGGCAUCCCGUGAGCUUCGACUCGCGGCCUGCCCAAAUGCGAUCCCGCAUCGGCGGAUGUCACGACAAGUGGUGGUUGAAAACUCAGUUGCGAGUUGUCGUGCCUAUCACCGUCCCUUGCUAGGGAAUCAAUUUGACCCAACGGCGCCUUUACCGGUGCCUUCGAC
rnacentral:rRNA from 1 species